ACAGUGGCACAACCUCCCAGGUGCCUUUGAUCUUAGCACUUUGAGAUUGCUUUUAGCAAUGAAAAGUGCUUUAUAAAUGAAAUUUAUUAUUAUUAUUAUUUGAUAAAAGGAUGAAAGAGGCACGGCUGGCAUUUUUCAUUUUCUCGCUUUUCAACACUACAUCUGAAACGACUGAGGCCAGACAAGGUUAAGACCAGGCAUCAACACCUCUUCACCAGGUUUUAAAAGUAAAUGCCCUUGGCUGCUGCCCGAUUCUUUUUCUUGGACAUCUGGGCUGGAACAGGGAGAUUUACAGGGACAUGGUCCACCACAUCUCUCUGACUGAUGGGGUUGUCCAGGAGAUAGUAAAAAAAAAAAUGAGAAAACUGUAUGAGCACCUCAUGAAAAAGUUGUUUGUUCCACAAGUAGCUGGGGACCUACAGCUGCUGCUGAAACACCGGCUGGUCCUGUGCCCCUGGUAAACAACUGUCCACCAGUCCCCCUCUGUGGACAAUCAAUCUGAAGCAGGACCAGAACCAGAAGAAGAAUUUGUUCUACAUCUUCUUCCUGUUGUUUUUCCAUCUCCCCCGUCUCAGCCUCUUCCAUCGUCCUCCACCUUCUCUCAGCCCCCUGCUUCAUCUUCCUCCACCUCUUCUCAGCCUCCUUGUCCUUUCUCCUCCUCUCCGCCUCCUUCUCCUUCUUUCUCCUCCUUCGUCUUCCUCCAUCUC